rnacentral:rRNA from 1 species
CUGGCGGCACGCCUAACACAUGCAAGUCGAACGAAGUAGCAAUACUUAGUGGCAGACGGGUGAGUAACAUGUAGGUAUCUGCCCUUUGGCCUGGAAUAACACGAGGAAACUUGUGCUAAUACCGGAUAAGUCUUUACGGAGAAAGCUUUAUGCACCAUUGGAUGAGCCUGCACUUGAUUAGUUUGUUGGUGGGGUAAUGGCCUACCAAGACUGUGAUCAAUAGCUGAUUUGAGAGGAUGAUCAGCCACAUUGGGACUGAGACACGGCCCAAACUCCUACGGGAGGCAGCAGUGGGGAAUCUUGCACAAUGGAGGAAACUCUGAUGCAGCGAUGCCGCGUGAGUGAAGAAGGCCCUUGGGUUGUAAAGCUCUUUCGUCGGGGAAGAAAAUGACUGUACCCGAAUAAGAAGGUCCGGCUA